GUGUAACUUAGUUUAAUUUAGAACAAUCAACUUGCACUUGAUAAGAGGAGGAGUUCCAGUAAC
rnacentral:tRNA from 1 species